rnacentral:lncRNA from 10 species
GAGGAGAGUAAGAUGUAGUGAGGCAUGUGUUCAGAACUUUCUCCCAGAGGGCUGAUAGUCCACUACGUUAUCAAGUUCAAAGCCUAAGAAAUAUUGAACAUUUCCACACAUGAAUGUGGGUACUAUGUUUAAUUUGAGAAUGGCCAACUGUCCUCGAAGUCUCAAUCUCUUUGGAGCCUACCAGCUCCGAGAGAAGUUUGAGGAUGCUGCAAAACCCUCCCCUGCAAAUCCAUCUACUCCUCCCACUUCUAUCCUAAUGGGUAUAGUUCUUGGCUGUGCUGAGGAUCUGUAAGGCACCAGAUGUGAAAGUAAGGAAGAAAGAUGGAUGUGGAAGAAAGUCACUGCCCAGAGAAUAAGGAGACCUGGAUUCUAAUCUCAGCUCUGCCAUUAACUAGCUAUGAAACUAUGGCUCAAAAGGGAAUAAGAGAUCAAGGCAAGCAUGGACAUCUUGUACGUGGAAGUGCAGACCAGAACUUGUAUCACAGCCAGUCAUAUCUGAAAAAGUGGCAUAGAGGGAAAAAGAGGUCAAAUUAAACAUCAAGGUAGCUAAAAGGAAAAUUGUGUCCGCUGCUCUAAUAUCACAAUCCCAAGGAGAACUGCAGACAUUUGUCCUCGAGUUCCUCAGGUUGGUAGGCAGAAAUUACAUUAUUUUCCUGAAUAUUCCUACUGUAAAAUAGUCAUGGUACUUCCUGCUGGGAGUGCAAAGAUGAAUAAGAAAUGCCUUCUAAUCUUAGGGGAUUCAUUAGGUAAAGUUCAUCCAGGUGACCAACUACUGCCCUCAUUUUGGCCCCAAGGAUUCCUGCCUUCUGUGCAUCUUUCUCCACCCUUACAUGACUUGAUCUGGCAUCACCUUGUUAAUGCUUCCUUGGAUCUAUAAACCUGACAAUGACCUCUCACCUCUCCCAAGAGGAUUUGCAUAAAUCCAAACACCUAUAGGUGGAUGUCUUCCCAUUGCUUCAAGCAUGAACUAAGCCAGGUACCUUCCUUUGUCAGACUUCCACCCAUCCAAAUGGGCUUCCUUCCAAGUGGCUCCCUUCCCUGCCAUACCAGCUCCACUCUUUUAGUCUCCUACUUUUUACUCCUACUUCUCCUUCAGCCUUUUAUUUCUAUCCUGUCACCAAGUCUUAGCAUCUGUCCCAUCAGCGAUUUUUAGGUCUAUUUCAACUUAGAUCUAUGCCUCACUAACUCACAAAAGAAGAAACUGGCAUCUUUGUCCCUUCCAACUAAUUUUGCAAGAUAUGUUUUCCUAACUUUGCAAGAUAUGUUUUUCUAAAAGCAUUCAUCAUUAUUUUCCUGUUUAUGAAACUUGAUCGAUCUCCCUUUUCUCUGUCUUGUCAAACAUACACCCUUUCAAAACCCUCUAUGGCCUAACCUUUCUCUGGCUAUACAAUGGUAUUUCAACCAAUCCCUAUCAUCCUAGUCUAUUCCAAUCAGGCUGUUACCAUCUCAAUGCCUUUGUUCAAACUGUCCUCCACCUCACCAAAUCAUUGUCCAGGAACAUGAUUCAUUCAGUCAAGUAUUCAGCAAGCAUCCAAUGGACAAGAUACACUAUGCUGGACACCAGGACACAACAGAGAGCACGACAGGCCCAUUUCUUGCCCUCAAGAGUCUUAUAUCUAGUGCUGCAACAAUUAGCCCAUCUCCCAAGAAAAACUUUGAUCCUUUCCUCAUGCUUUAUAUUUUGAAAACCUUGGUAGAGAAAAAGUUUCUUUUAAAAAAAGAAAAACAUUUCUUAACAAGCAAAAGCAAUUAAAGUAAUGUAUUUAAAUUUAAUGUAAAGUAUGUAAAUUGAAUGAAUAUUUAUGUAAAUAUGCAUGUAAAUUUAAAACAUUUUCUAAUCUGGUUGGAAAUGGAUUUCCAAAAAUAAGUAAUAGAAAAGAAACAAUAGAAUGUUAAACUCCUUUAUAGCGUCAUCACCCGCCUCCCCCAGGAAGCUUUAUAAAACAAAAUUAUUUUUAAAAUUCACCCAUUACGGAAUUUUCCUUCUUUAAAUAUCCAUGGUCCUUAGUCCAGUGCUUAGUUAUACUCUUUUGUUUUGUGUAUGAUCGCUUUUGCCCUGUGGACACAUACGCUCUAAAUAGAGACACACAGCUUGGCUCUGUGCUUGUUGUGUAGCCCUGACAAUAAUAAAGCAACGAGCGAGCUUCACAAAUAUGCCACAGUGGAUAUUACGCUCACACAUAAAAACAGACCUGUAUAAUUUAAAACUCAACCUCAGUAAUCCAAAAACCCAGUAUAGCAGGCUUGAACUUCAACAUCCAUCAACAUUUUCAACUAGAAGAAAAUCAGACUCUGUUGAGCCUUCUCGUCAGCCUUUCCUGCCUACAGCCAAGAGGAUGACAGGCAAAAAGAACGGGGUGGAAAAGCAAAGGGCAAUUCACAUGUGAACUAGAUUAUAGAGCCAUUUGUUUCUACCUCUAAAUUUUUAUCAUGCGGGCCUCAAAUAAACUUGUCACCAGACAUCAUGUGGGCUUUUGGACCUAAAACCUCUAGAAGUUUUUGAUAUGACUCUUAGUUUCUGACACAACUAUUUUUAGUGAAAUAACAUUGCCUCUGCUUCUGUGACAUUUCCCAGAACAACAGUUAAUCUGAAAUCAGACAGAGGGAAUUUUAUUUUGAUCUAAACUUUCGCUCAAUGAGAGAGUCAGGGAAAGCCAUAUCCUGUGUGUUCAAGUCCCAUAAUAAAAGCUGCGUAAUUUAAAUGGAGUCAGGUCACACUCUGUUCUUCCUUGAGUCAGCUGCUCACCUAGAUUCAAAAAUAGGGACCAAAAAAGAUAAACUGGCUUGGUUCCUAACUGCUAAUGUGGUCUCUAGGAACUGAAAAACCACAUGAUCCACCCUAACUGAAGCAGAAGAUUACAAAAAGCAGGUCCCGCCUUGACCAUCGCCUCUGUUUCUAAUCCUUUCCCAAAGCUGCCAAGUGCAUCCUGGAAGGGCCACUUAAACUCUCUAAGCGAAAGUCAAAAUAGAAUGGAAAAUUCUGGGAACUCUGACUAUGCAACACCUUGUUGUCAUUCAAAGUUUUCUCUUUAAAAAAAAAUUUUAUUGCUGCUGUUUAGUCAUUUGUAUACCUCUACUGUUACAACUAACAUGUUUGUCCACUGUUGAGUAAGCCAUAGUGCAAACACAGUUUCAAACACCUCACCAACAGUCCAAAAUGUUAAUCUUGGGGCUUAACAAAUGUUAACUACAACCUGGAGAUAUAGUUCCAAUAUCCUUAUAAUUAAAUAGUAAAAUUAUUAUGCUCUUUCCCCAGUCAUGUCUGCACUAUUGUUUCUAAAUGUAUCCACAGGUUGCCAGUAAUGAUGUUUCUGGUGAUCUGGCUCAGAAGGCUGAGCUGAUGAGUGAUCACUCAGAAAUACUGAAUCAGGCAAUGGAAAUUCUGAAUCGGUGGGCUCUGGAGAAGGAACUGAGGGCGAGGUGACUCGGGGCCGGAGGGCUAUUAUGGACUAUGGACAAGCUGAAGGCAUGGGAAGCCUGACCAGUAGAUAGAGGAAUAUGAACUUGGUGGACAGGGAAAAGCAGGGACGUCAUGAACGAAAGACCACAGACCCUCUGUUCUAGUCCAUGGGGCCAGGCUGUGCUCCACUGCCUACUCUUGGAUUCCCCAAAGAAUGCUUUAUGUCCUUAUAAUAAAUCCACCUUUCCAUGGACAAAAAUGAGUGUGUCUCUGUGUCUUCAAACCUGAGAGCUAAAACCAAAAAACAUAACU